rnacentral:rRNA from 1 species
AGCUCCAAUAGCGUAUAUUAAAGUUGUUGCAGUUAAAAAGCUCGUAGUUGGAUUUCUGAUGUCUCUUUCUUCUAAUCUUGUCUGCUAAAUGUGGAUGUUUAGUUUGAUUGGACGUCAUCUUGGCCUGCUAAUUCACCUUCGAUACAUUGAUUUGUCUUGUUGGUGGAUGGGCCUCAUUUACUGUGAAAAAAUUAGAGUGUUCAAAGCAAGUAUUAAUUUCUUGAAUACAUUAGCAUGGAAUAAUAAGAUAGGACUUUGGUACUAUUUUGUUGGUUUGCAUACCAAAGUAAUGAUUAAUAGGAACAUAUUGGGGAUAUCUGUAUUUUUCAGUCAGAGGUGAAAUUCUUGGAUUUGAGAAAGACAAACUACAGCGAAAGCAUUUAUCAAGGAUGUUUUCAUU